ensembl:lncRNA
UUUAAAAUCAAUACCAUUGUUAUUUUCUGGAGAGGCCACUCAUUACUGGCCCAACUGAAAGUGUUUAGGCUUGACAAGCAAAACCAAGCCCCACCUAGAGGAACACAGGUGAAAUGAAUUAAGCUAGUUUUCCAGUAAAGAGAGAGAGAAACCAGGAAGGGGAUAACACAUUUCUUUAGCUUCUUCCUCUGCUGAAGGAAACUUACACUGUGAGAAGAGGCUAUGUGGUCUUUUGCAACGAUGCAGCCUUAGACUAAGGGCUUGAGAGGUGUGGGAUAAAAGUCUGGGACAUCUUGAGUCAAGCUAUUUUAAACUUUUGUCAGAAAAAGUGCCUUAGAAAUCCCCGCUUACAGCAAGUAUCAAAUCCUGCGAGACUGGAGCACCACCUGAACUUGGCCUUCUUCCUACGUGUGGUUUGCCAGUGGCUCUGUGACAAGUACAAGACCUGGAAGAAACCUCCAUCCUCAAAGACUUGGAAAAGGCUGUCCUGGAGCCUGCGUGGAGGUUACAAAAAUCAUCCCUCUGGUGGUGGCCUGAGCAGAUUACUUCAACCCCAAUGUUGCCCUGAACGUUGCAUUCAAGAUUUGAGAAGAUUAGGACUGCUAAGCUUUUUUUCCAUUAAAGGAUUCCUGGGUCGGGAAGAUCCCCUGGAGAAGGGAAAGGCUACCCACUCCAGGAUUCUGGCCUGGAGAACUCCAUGGACUAUAUACUCCAUGGGGUCGUAAAGAGUCAGAUGUGACUGAGCGACUCACUUUCAUAAUGAAUACAGUCCCUGUGCUAUAUCGUAUCACCUUGUUGUUUAUUUUAUAUAUAGUAGUGUGUAUCUGUUCAUUCCAACUCCUCUUUUAUCCCUCCUCCCUUCCCUUUUGGUAACCAAAUUUGUUUACUAUGUAUUAGACACAUAUAUUUUUAAUUCAAGAUAUCUCACCAGACUAUAUACACUUGAGUCAAAUUGUAUUGAUAACCAGGACUUCAGAAGGGAAGGAGGCAGUAGUCUUUGAGGCUGCAGUUUUGCAAGUUUCCUGGAGGUAAUAGGAAUUUAAUUGGCACAUUAGGAAUGGUUUCCAAUAAGGAGGGGCAGAAAAAAGACCUGUCGGUGGACAUUCUAGGUGAUAGUACAUCGUUUCUUUCUGUGUCAUCUGUUCUUUAAUCUUGAUACUCAGCAUUGUGUGAAAUAAAAACUCUUUAAGAAAAAAAGACUAAGAUCAAAUCUAUUUCAGAGAUACCCUUAGCAAAUGAAUUGUUCAGCCUAUAUCCUCUGAGAAAGGUAGCUGAAUCACAUUGUAACAGAUUUUUACUUGACUUUAGAACUUUAUUUUUGUGUUGCCAAAAAUGCAAGGUGAUGGAGCCCAGAUGCUCCAAUCUAUACAACACACUGUCUGGAAAUCUGUUGAUUUUUCCAGUUGAAUAACCAAGCCUGCAGGUGUAUGAGCUUGUGAGAGUGCCCUGAACCUGGAGGAUAUAGACAGUUGCCUUCAGAUUUUUUAUACGAGUUUUAGAUAUCUUUCAAAUAUUGGUCUCUAAGGAUAAAUGUUUCAACCUGAUUGAAAGUUGCAGCUAGGCUAUUUUAGGAUGCAGUGGCAGUAUCUUUACUGGUUUACGUACUGAUUUUUCUGUCUCAAGUAUCCCCUGAUUGUGAAAACUUAGAUAUUUUCAAAGAAGGAGGAAAAUCUUACUUGUGCCUGAAGAAUUUUAGACUAGUGCAUCUUGCGAAGAUUUUCUUGUAGGUUUUAGGAAAUAACAUUUUUGAGAGAGAUGUUUGAAGUAUGACAAGGCAGUAUUUUUUUUGCUCCUUAACUUACCUUGGAAUAAAAAAAAAAAAUGUUCCUCCAGUCAGCUACCCUUGGCAGGUUCUUAAUUUCUCAGAUCGUAGCUUCUCUUUGCUUCCUGGAUCUGUUACUUGUAUUGCCUUUUUGGAAUUCUCAAAGGGCUCAAAAAUUUAAUGGAUGUUCUCUUAUUUCAUGUACCUCAUUUCCAUUAAUCUGUUAAGUACAUCACUUAAAUGUAUCUCUUAAGAAAAUAAUAUUGAUUGUUGCUUUAAAUCAAUCCCUUAUGAUUAUACAGUGGAAGUGAGA